UACGUAGGGUGCGAGCGUUAAUCGGAAUGACUGGGCGUAAAGGGUGCGCAGGCGGUUGGUUAAGACGGAUGUGAAAGCCCCGGGCUCAACCUGGGAACGGCAUUCGUGACUGGCCGACUAGAAUAUGGCAGAGGGAGGCGGAAUUCCACAUGUAGCAGUGAAAUGCGUAGAGAUGUGGAGGAACACCGAUGGCGAAGGCAGCCUUCUGGGCCAAUAUUGACGCUCAGGCACGAAAGCGUGGGGAGCAAACAGG
rnacentral:rRNA from 1 species